AAGGCUACUAUCUAGACUCGAAUGCUUUCAUACAAGUGAUUUUCAAAAAUUAGUCAAUAAAAAUUGGUGUCAGUGCAGGCUCAGGCCCGCCCCCAGAUACACUAGUUUCUAGGUCUGGGGCCAGCCUUGGAAAUGGCAUUGUUACUAGGCACGCAGGUGAUGCUGACUCGAUGGCCUGAGACACACCCCUUGAGAAGAAGCUGCUGUGGGGAGAUGAGGGUAUGAGUGGAAAGAGGAUGGGCGAGGAGGCCGGGCUUACUGGACACUAAGGUGAUGGACGGCGUCUGCUGGGCAGGCCUCGGGGAGGACCCCUCAGCUUUGCUCUCAGCAGGGGCCCCACAACCUCAGUGGGCAGUGGCAGGAACUGAGUGCCACUGGAAAGCCCAUUCCCUUUAUUUAAAAAAGGAGCUGGCCAGGAGGCCGCUACUUUGUGUCCAUUUCUCCUGAGGAAACUUCUCACCACCUUGGUUGAGCGGCUUCACGGCAGACAGCAGCGAGCCAGCGGCCGGACUCUGUAUUUCGGACCCCACUCCAGUGCUCCCUGGAUCAUACCAGGAUCUGCCUCUGUCCACAAAGAUGAGGGAAAAUGAUGACUGGGCUGUGCUCUCUACUUCCUGAAGUUACUGCGUGAUUCUAAAGCUGCCACUCGGAACAGCGAGUCCUCUGGCUUCGAGAGAAGGGAGGGGUAGGGUGGACAGGCGAUGCUGUGGAAAGACAUCUCGGUGGAAACUGCCGUGGUGGAAAGGUGGCGCGCUUCUCACGGCUGAGUUGCUGCGCCUGCAGACAGAAGCUCCGCACAGGCAGGGCUGCUUGGACGCGUGAGUCAUGAAGCCAGAGAAGUCCUGCUCCACGAGCAGUGACUCCCCAGGCCCUGUGACCUCUUCCACCCGUAUUGCAGCUCCUCCUGGCACCAGUGCCCAGGGCUCUCCUGCUGGUAGUUCCUGCUUUUCUUCUUGGAAAUUCCUCGUGGGCCUCGAGAUCUUUACCCUAAAACAGUUCUGUUGAAUUUCACCCUGACGAUGUAAAUUGAUAGCUUAUCUUCACAGAUGCCAGACAAAGGACAGAACUCACCAUCAGCCCUCUGCUCACCUGAGACAAAUGCCUGUCUGAUUGCUUCCUCUGCCCUGUUUAUGUAAAAAUGCAGAUUCACUGAGCCAGACUAAGGCAUAAGUGACUGUUCCUCUACCUGCCUCUCACAUGGAAAUUGUGUAUUCAGUGAAAGGCUGAUCAAAGACCCAAAAGAAUGCAACAGGUUAUCUCUUAUCUACCUAUGACCUGGGAGCUGCCCACCGCCCCCAGUUGUUCCACCUUUCCAGACAGAACCAGUGUACAUCUUACAUGUAUUAAUUGAUGUCUGGUGUCUCCCUAAUAUGUAUCAAAGCAAGCUGUGCCUCGACCACCUUGGGCACAUGUCCUCAGGACAUCAUCCUGAGGCUGUGUCACAGGCACGUCCUUAACCUUGGCAAAAUAAACUUUCUAAAUUGAGA
rnacentral:sRNA from 1 species